GGCUCCUGGCCCUGGGCGCCAUCCCUGCCACUAUUGGCAGGAGCCCUGGAGGGCAGUGGGUGUCCCCCUGACUGUCAAUAUGCUUCCUCCCCGUCUCACAGUCAAUACUGUUGUGAAGAAAAAGCCAGCAAGAUGGGAGCUGUACCUGAAGACAGGCCACACAGCAUCCGUAAGAACAGCAGAAACUCAAACCCAACACCAGCAAACGGCCCUCUCAGCAGCUCUGCAUUUCUUGGACUCCUCAGACCAGUCUUGGAUUUGAAAAGCAACAACAGGAACCAAAGAAAGGGCUUUUGAAGACCUGACACACAGAGAACAGCUUCGAGAAAGAGACAUACCGGAAAGAAAAAUACAGCCAGAAAAAGUCAGGUCUGACGCGGAAGCAAGCCUGGUUCCUGUGUGUGGACCCAGCACAGAUGUGAAGAAGCCCCGCUUGGUAAGUAGACGUUCUCCUUUACCCGGGAAUGUUAUCAGAUGUACUGAAAAGGAUGAUCUCUUCCUUCCAGAAUGGGCUAGUUGGUGCUAUGCCACCUCCAUGGUAUAUUUUCUGCGACUUGGGGUGGGGGCUAAAUAUUCCCUUCUUACAGAUGAGCAGGAUUCCCGGCAGGCCACUGUCCUUGUCACAGCUUUGGACGGUCACCAAUUGCUGUACUUCUGCCUUGCUUUGAGGAAUUCUCUAAAUGUUUAUAUUUCUUUUUUUAUAUUUAUUUACUUUCCCUUUUGUUACCCUUGUUGUUUUUUGUUGUUGUUGUUGUCAUUGUUGUUGGAUAAGACAGAGAGAAACGGAGAGAGGAGGGGAAGACAGAGAGGCAGAGAGAAAGACAGACACCUGCAGACCUGCUUUACCGCCUGUGAAGCGACUCCCCUGCAGGUGGGGAGCCGGGGGCUCGAACUGGGAUCCUUACACUGGUCCUUGUGCUUUGUGCCACGUGCGCUUAACCCGCUGCGCU